GAAAAUUCAACGCAGAAGUCGUCGCCGGUGAGAGAGAGAGAAGGAGAAGAGGGAGAGACUGAAGGGACACCAUCAUAUCAUCAGAACUGAGCUUGGGAUUCGAUCCAUGCAAACUUCUGUUGCGUUCAUAGCCUUGUCGUCGCAGCUGUUUCCGAGGAUUAUAUAUCUAGCAUCAUUUUAGGAGUUCUUGGUUAUGAUACACCCUCACGGGCCAUGAAGAGAGCUGCAAUGUCUCUUUCCAAACUGGCAGAUACAGCACGCGAGGAGCUGCCAAGCACAACUGCUGCUAUUAGGCUCUCCGGCAUGGAGAUCGGUGUUCUUACACUGGCGUUGAACAUCUAAGCCAGGACAUAGCUGAUGGAAUAAAUAAAUCAGCUCAAGCUCUGCAGGCUGCAGAAGCUGGAACUCGACAGAUUGGUUCUUGUGCUCAACAACAGGCCAUCCAUAUGUCUUAACCCCUCCUCUUAGAUUGAUCCCUUCAACCGGCUUCCUAAAAUAACUUUGUAAUCUCUUGUUUUCGCAAUGUCUGAUUUAUGUCCACCAAAUGCUUAAUACAGCAAUUUAAGAGAGAGCUAGCCUGCCAAUUAUCUUGUUA